GACGAACGCUGGCGGCGUGCUUAACACAUGCAAGUCGAACGGAAAGGCCAAGCUUGCUGGGUACUCGAGUGGCCAACGGGUGAGUAACACGUGGGUUAUCUGCCCUCCACUUUGGGAUAAGCCUGGGCAACUGGGUCUAAUACCGGCUAUGUUCAACUGUCGACUGGUGGUUGGUGGAAAGCUUUUGCGGUUGAGGAUGGGUCCGCGGCCUAUCCGCUUGUUGGUGGGGUAUUGGCCUACGAAGGCGACGACGGGUCGCCGACCUGUGAGGGUGAUCGGCCACACUGGGACUGAGACACGGCGCAGACUCCUACGGGCGGCAGCAGUGGGGAAUAUUGCACAAUGGGCGCAAGCCUGAUGCAGCGACGCCGCGUGAGGGAUGACGGCCUUCGGGUUGUAAACCUCUGUCACCAGGGACGAAGCGUGAGUGACGGUACCUGGAGAAGAAGCACCGGCCAACUACGUG
rnacentral:rRNA from 1 species